rnacentral:rRNA from 1 species
UACGUAGGGUGCGAGCGUUGUCCGGAAUUAUUGGGCGUAAAGGGCUCGUAGGCGGUUUGUCGCGUCGGGAGUGAAAACUCAGGGCUUAACCCUGAGCCUGCUUCCGAUACGGGCAGACUAGAGGUAUGCAGGGGAGACUGGAAUUCCUGGUGUAGCGGUGAAAUGCGCAGAUAUCAGGAGGAACACCGGUGGCGAAGGCGGGUCUCUGGGCCGAUACUGACGCUGAGGAGCGAAAGCGUGGGGAGCGAACAGG